rnacentral:snRNA from 1 species
GUCCCUUCGGGGACAUCCGAUAAAAUUGGAACGAUACAGAGAAGAUUAGCAUGGCCCCUACGCAAGGAUGACACGCAAAAAUCAAGAAAUGGUCCAAAUUUUA